rnacentral:rRNA from 1 species
UACGUAGGGUCCGAGCGUUGUCCGGAAUUAUUGGCGUAAAGAGCUCGUAGGCGGUUUGUCGCGUCUGUCGUGAAAGCCCACGGCUUAACUGUGGGUCUGCGGUGGAUACGGGCAGACUAGAGGCAGGUAGGGGAGAAUGGAAUUCCCGGUGUAGCGGUGAAAUGCGCAGAUAUCGGGAGGAACACCAAUGGCGAAGGCAGGUCGCUGGGACCGUACUGACGCUGAGAGCGAA